rnacentral:rRNA from 1 species
GUAGGGAAUAUUCCGCAAUGGGCGAAAGCCUGACGGAGCAACGCCGCGUGAGUGAUGAAGGCCUUAGGGUCGUAAAGCUCUGUUGCAGGGGAAAAAGCAAGUGAUUGUACUCUGCGAGAAAGGACCGGCAAACUUCGUGCCAGCAGCCGCGGUAAUACGAAGGGUCCUAGCGUUGUUCGGAAUUAUUGGGCGUAAAGAGCACGUAGGUGGCCUAGUAAGUCAGGUGUGAAAUCCCAGGGCUCAACCCUGGAAGUGCACUUGAAACUGCAUGGCUUGAGUACGGAAGAGGUGAGUGGAAUUCCUGGUGUAGUGGUGAAAUACGUAGAUAUCAGGAGGAACAUCGGUGGCGAAGGCGGCUCACUGGUCCUGUACUGACACUGAGGUGCGAAAGCAUGGGGAUCAAACAGGAUUAGAUACCCCAGUAGUCC